AGCGCAGGUGGUUUAUUAAGUCUGGAGUGAAAAUGCGGGGCUCAACCCCGUAUGGCUCUGGAUACUGGAAGACUUGAGUGCAGGAGAGGAAAGGGGAAUUCCCAGUGUAGCGGUGAAAUGCGUAGAUAUUGGGAGGAACACCAGUGGCGAAGGCGCCCUUCUGGACUGUGUCUGACGCUGAGAUGCGAAAGCCAGGGUAGCGAACG
rnacentral:rRNA from 1 species